rnacentral:rRNA from 1 species
UACGUAGGGGGCAAGCGUUGUCCGGAAUCACUGGGCGUAAAGCGCGCGCAGGCGGCUAUCUACGUCCGGGGUGAAAGCCCAGAGCUCAACUCUGGGACUGCCUUGGAUACGGGAUCGCUUGAGGAUCGGAGAGGCAAGGGGAAUUCCACGUGUAGCGGUGAAAUGCGUAGAGAUGUGGAGGAACACCUGUGGCGAAGGCGCCUUGCUGGCCGAUUUCUGACGCUGAGGCGCGAAAGCGUGGGGAGCAAACAGG